rnacentral:rRNA from 1 species
UACGGAGGGUGCGAGCGUUGUUCGGAAUCACUGGGCGUAAAGGGCGUGUAGGCGGCCCGCUAAGUCUGAUGUGAAAGCCCGGGGCUCACCCCCGGAAGUGCAUUGGAAACUGGCGGACUCGAGUCCCGGAGAGGAGAGUGGAAUUCCUGGUGUAGCGGUGAAAUGCGUAGAUAUCAGGAGGAACACCGGUGGCGAAGGCGGCUCUCUGGACGGUGACUGACGCUGAGACGCGAAAGCGUGGGGAGCAAACGGG